AUGGUAAGAGGGGUUUGCUCUGAUGGUAAGCAACCCCCACUUCCAACCAAGAGGUUGUGAGGUCGAGUCUCCCCAAGAGCAAGGUGGGAAGUUCUUGGAGGGAAGGAUGCCGGGGUUCAAUUUGGAAACAGCCUCUCUACCCAAGGUUAGGGGUAAGGUCUGUGUACAUACUAUAUACUGGGUUGUUGUUGUUGUUGUAACUUGAUCAGUGAUGACAUUUCAGUAAUAUUAGCUGCAAUGAACUACAUAAGCAAACAAACAAAAAAAGCAGGACUACUUACCCAUCUUAACCAGCUUAUAUCAACUAAAUUGCAGAUAUUAAUAGAGCCAAAGACUGUGACUGGAAGACGACAAUUUAAACACAGCAGAAGUGAGAAUAGAAAAAAGGAGGAUUCUAUAUUUCCAACCAGAUAUAAACAGGACGAGAAGACUAAACAAGAACUCGUCGACUAUGCUAGACAAAGUUCUUUUCAAGAGGUUUUUUCACAAACUUAGAACAGAAGACCAGUUAAUGUUAACAUGGAAUUCAAAUCAUACAAAGUUCUUUUCAAGAGGUUUUUUCAUAAACUUAGAACAGAAGACCAGUUAAUGUUAACAUGGAAUUCAAAUCAUUUAAAGCAUAAAACUCUGAAACUUACUUUUCUCCUUGUCCCUUCUUCUAGUUCCUUUUUUCUUUUCCCUUAGUUCAAAAUUCGAUAUUUUUAUUCAGCUGAUUCCCAUGAAAAAUAGCAGGAUAUAUAACUCCUCUCGACAAUUGGAUAUUCUAGAACAAAAAGGUUGCUAAAAAAUAUCCUAGCAGAAAAUGGAAACCUCACUUGUUUAUGUAUAAACAUAUCAUGUGAAAUGACAACUGAUGCAGAUGUUAUCACCUCUAAUACCAGAAGCAUUCUUUAAGAUGCUGAGCAGCAUCAAUAUGCCAAACUCCGGAAAAAAAUGGGAAAUUCAAAUUACAAAGGUUUUUUUUUCAUCAAGGAAUAGGUAGGUA
rnacentral:lncRNA from 1 species